AGAGGCUAAUUGUUGAUGUGUCUAGAAUAAGAUCUCGACCAUCUGCAGAGAAAGAUAAGAAUCGGAUUUUCAAGGGAAAUGAAGUAGUUGAAGUAUAUGAUGCUGUUGCUGGUGUUUGGAGGAAAGCAGAGAUCUGGGAAGUACAUCAUGGUACAAACUGGUAUAGUCUAUUUUAU